rnacentral:rRNA from 1 species
UACGGAGGGUGCAAACGUUGCUCGGAAUCAUUGGGCGUAAAGCGCACGUAGGCGGCUAGAUAAGUCGGGUGUGAAAGCCCUGGGCUCAACCCAGGAAGUGCAUUCGAAAACUGUCUAGCUUGAAUCUCGGAGGGGGUCAGAGAAUUCCCGGUGUAGAGGUGAAAUUCGUAGAUAUCGGGAGGAAUACCAGUGGCGAAGGCGCUGACCUGGACGAAGAUUGACGCUGAGGUGCGAAAGCGCGGGGAGCAAACAGGG